rnacentral:rRNA from 1 species
AUGAACGCUGGCGGCAUGCCUUACACAUGCAAGUCGAACGGCAGCACGGGAGCAAUCCUGGUGGCGAGUGGCGAACGGGUGAGUAAUAUAUCGGAACGUGCCCGGUCGUGGGGGAUAACGUAGCGAAAGCUACGCUAAUACCGCAUACGAUCUACGGAUGAAANCGGGGGAUCGCAAGACCUCGCGCGAUUGGAGCGGCCGAUAUCAGAUUAGGUAGUUGGUGAGGUAAAGGCUCACCAAGCCGACGAUCUGUAGCUGGGUCUGAGAGGACGACCAGCCACACUGGGACUGAGACACGGCCCAGACUCCUACGGGAGGCAGCAGUGGGGAAUUUUGGACAAUGGGCGCAAGCCUGAUCCAGCAAUGCCGCGUGCAGGAUGAAGGCCUUCGGGUUGUAAACUGCUUUGUACGGAACGAAACGGUGAGCUCUAAUACAGUUUGCUAAUGACGGUACCGUAAGAAUAAGCACCGGCUAACUACGUG